rnacentral:lncRNA from 1 species
UAACUUUUACGAAUUUUAUGGUGUAUGUAAAUGAGAAUCAGAUGCAUUAUUAAACUUGAAUUUUGUCCGAAAUUUAUAUAACAGGGAUCGGAGAAGGGAUCAAAUGAGUGGAAGAAUGAGGCUUCUAAGUCUUGCUGUGGUGCUCGCAAUACUGCUGAGCUCUUGCUUGGCUGCACAAGGAAGGGCGUUGAACGCCGAAACCUAUUCCUAUGCCGUACAGUGGAAUAGCGACCGGGUACUGGCGGAGGAGGACGACCAGAGUUUGGAAUCUGGGGCCCCUGCAAUCGAUUUGGAUAACCACCAUGGCAUUCCCAGGAGCCAAUUCAGUGCAGGUGGCAGUGGUUAAAGCUUUGUUCUUUGAUAUUAAUUGAUAGUUAUGUAAUUAAUGAUUAUAUUAUGUGUCAGAAUUAUCUUUAUGGUCUGUAUCAUAUUGCUUAAUUUGUUGAGUAUUUCUGGAUGUGGAUUGUAUUAUUAUCGUUGGUGAAAUUUUUAGCAUAAAAAUAAGUUUGUAUGUCUCUUGUAUAAUUAUUGAAGUAUCAACGUAAUACAGUUUGUAAAUUAUUGAUGUUAAUAUUGAUAUCAAAUGGAUGAUUCGG